AGGGAUUUGUUUCAGCUUUUUUUUUUUUUUUUUUUUUUUGGUUCUUUUUUUCGGAGCUGGGGCCUUGCACUUCCUAGGCAAGCGCUCUACCACUGAGCUAAAUCCCCAACCCCCUGCUUCAGCUUUUGAAGGGAGCUUUUAGCGGACACACCUGCCAUGCCAAGUGUAGUUGGAACAUUGACCCCAAGGAGAAACGUCCUUCUUUCAUCCAGUAGGUUGGAGUUUCCAAACCAGACCCCGCACUCUUAGACCUAACCAGGAGGGCAGACUUGUCGGUUUGAUUUUUCCACUCGAUGUUACUUUCAGAUGGCCACGCGGCGAAUUCCCUUUGAGGUUUCCAGUCUUAUAACGCAAGUCUCAGCACACUUUGCUCUGCAACAUCUCAUCUGUAGAAAAUCCCCAAGUCUCCGAGGCGUCGUCGUUUACUCAUCAUGGCACCCUGAGAAUCCCAGCAGGCUCAGGAAUCAGCUCAAACGCGGGGAUUCGCUCUGCCGAAGCCCUUAUUAGCUAAAAGCCUGGAUCCUCAUAUGAGCAGGCGACAGUGAAGAGGGGAGAGGAGAAACCGGACGUGAAGGCUUUACGAUGGAGAUAGAGGUCCCAUAAGCUCAGCAAGCCAGUCAACAGAUGUGCCUGUUAAUCGGAAGGAUGUCAGGUGAGAUACGGAAGUCAGACAACUGGCUCCUAGAGAGCCUGAAGCUCUGACCUACACUAUCUAUCAUGGCACUGAGUCAGCCAAGGUCAAAUACUCCACAGGAUCUUUAAUGGAGUUGCUGUCGGAGAACAUUCUACAGCAGUAUGCAUUUGGCUUUGUGAGGAGCAAGACAGAGUUGCUCUCCCGGGAUCAUUUUGUGUUGGACUCUGCUCUGUGACUCAGCCUCCAAAAGCACUUCCCAGAGGACAGUAACGGGACCUCUCAUUUUGAAAUAUGCAUCAGAUGCAGGUCUGUAGAUGAAUGAGGCUGGAGGCUGGGGCCACUUCUUUACUCCGCAGAUAAGCAUUGACCAUGUCUUCUGCAAGACUCAGAGGAGGAUUCCUGGAGGAGGACAGGGGCACACAGAGGCAUUUAAAUUCUGCUUCUGUCAAUGCUGAGAAGGCAAAGAAGUCUCCUACAUAAAAGGAAAUGCCUUUCUGAGGAAGUGGUGGUUGGUCCUGCAAAUGAUAUGCAAGAGAAGACCCAGGACUCACAGGAAGAUGUGAAGGUGCUUACAUAGAGGAAAAUUGAGGUAGAGAGGAAGGAAGUGCAGUUAACUAUAGAGGCAAAAGAGGGCUUAUUUAUGAAGGAAGAGCCCUGAGAGGUUGAGAGAGGAGUUGCUGCUGAGCCAGGACUAGCCUUGGGUGGGAAGAAGGGUAAUGCUUUCUUAGGAUAGCAUGCAGAAUAUCUUAGUCUACUUUCUAUUCCUGUAACUGACUUGAACACUUUAUCAAGAGAGAACAUUUAUUGAAUUCACAGUUCUGGAGGGCCACAGUUGAGGGGCUGUGGCUAGUGAUUUUUGGUUUAUUUUUGGUGAGAAAGCCGUAUAGAGUCCUCCGGUGGUUUAUAAGCUAUACACAUGGUGAUGCUGUACCACUGAGUUACAUCCCAAGCCCUCUUCUUACAGGUCCACUAAAACAAUCUCCCAAUGGACUUUAUCAAUUGACUUUAGGGAUUAGUGUCAAAGGAGCACACUUGAACCAUACUGGAAGGAGAAAAUGGGAGGUAGAGUGUGCUUGUAGAUGAAGGUUGGAUGUGACAGUUUGCAUGCGGUCUUCUCGAGCUCUCUGCGGCAGGAGUGUAAGUGGAUUCUGAGUACCAGAGAGCAGCAGGACAGGAGAGGGCUUAAUGGAAAGUGGUGAAUGGGUUGAAGUGGCCCUUGGGAGAACCAGGGGAGCCUGUCAGAUCAGUCUGGCUCUGUUCCAGAGGCUCCUGGGAGUCCUGAGGGGACUCACUUAAUUAUUACAUUUUGUGAGAGACUCAGUAAUGACACACUAGCCAAAUGAGCACUCUACCAAAUGAGGACCUGUAAAGGGGCCAUUUUCCCAUCCCAUUUGUGCCUGGAACACAAGAUAAGUAAUACACUUAUGUAUGCCCACUUCUAUCAAACCCUUAAAUGAGUUUGGCAAAAGCGAGGCCAAUCUGGCAAUAUUGAAUGUAGAUAUAUCGGUAUAGGAAAAUGGACCCUCAUAUCUUGCUGGAAAAAGUAUGGGUUAGUACAACACCCACCCUUAAUCUGUGUCUUGGAAGGGAGGACACCUUUAAUCUGGACCACACCUUCUGCCUAAGGCUACGGAAGAAGGAAGCUUUUGCUUUUUGUCUACUCACUCUCCUCUUGCUAGCACAUCCAUUCCUUCACUGGUACUACAGCCUACCUUGGGGUCCCAGUGUACACUGAAGACCAGCUGAGACACUCAGCCUCAUGGACUAAACAAUUAUUGGAUUCUUUGACUUUCUGUUCAUAAGCAGCUAUUGUUGGAUUAGCUGGACCACAGCCUUUAAGUUAUUCCAAUAAAUUUCCUUUUUUUCAUAGAGAAAGAGACCCAUUCUGUAAGUUCUCUUACUCAAGAGAACCCUGACUAACACAUUGUUACAGGAAUAUAUGAAAGACCCCAGCUUAGCAGCAGUAAUGCCAUUUUGCAAGGCUGUACUUAAGAUGACUGGUUCAGAAAAAGGUUAGAACACUGAGUACACAGCGGCUGCCAAGCAGGAUGUGUUUGGUUGAAGGCCUGGCAACAGGACGACUUCGGUUGAGCACCUGACAAUGAAAAAAAAGCCCCGAGAGAGGUCCCACACCCUGGUGGGGGGCUGAGUCAGUUGUUAUGUUCCAGAAAGGUAGCUAAGAAACUUGCCCCCGGGCUGAACCCUUGGGGGGCCGAGUCAGCCGUUAUGUUUCAAGAAGGUAGCUAGGAAACUUGCUCCCGGGCUAAACCCUUGCCAUAUUAGAAUCCACCAAUUAUAUCCCUAUAACCAUGCAUCUGCUUCUGUAUGCUUGCUUCUGCUCCCCAAAAUCCUAUAAAAGCCCAUCCUUGGUUCCGUGGGGCGCGCCAGUCCCCCGAGUGACUGAAGCGCCCGCAGGUGCCUGUGCCUGUGUAUCCCGACAAUAAACCAAAUCCUCUUGCUGAUUGCAUCCUGUGGUGUCUCGGUCUGGUCUUUGGAGUUAGAGGGUCUCCAUCCCGAGGGAAAGUUCUCCCUGAGAGCUUUUCAUUUGGUGCGUUGGCCGGGAAUGGAGAUCCUCCACCCAGGGACCACCGACCACCCACUGGGAGGUAAGCCGGCCGGCGUCUGUCUGUCUGUCUGAUUUUGUCUCGUUCUGCCUUAUUCUGUCUGUUCUGUGAGCGCUCGGCCAGGUCUGUUCUGUGAGCGCUCAGCCAGGUCUGUUCUGUGAGCGCUCAGCCAGGUCUGUUCUGUGAGCGCUCAGCCAGGUCUGUUCUGUGAGCGCUCAGCCAGGUCUGUUCUGUGAGCGCUCAGCCAGGUCUGUUCUGUGAGCGCUCAGCCAGGUUGUUUGGAAUUUGGGCGGGACGAAGAAGGAGCUGACGAGCUCGGACUUCUUGCCCUGCAGCCCUGGAAGACGUUCCAAGGGUGUUAGGGGCCCGACUUUUCGGGGCCCAAUCUGGGAGAAGAGAAAGAUCCGGACUAACGGCACCUCUGUCUGUAUUUUUGGCUUUCAGAGGGCCCCGGACCUUUGCCACCUCCAUCUGACUUUUUGCUUUCAGUUUGGUACCAAAGCCGUGCAGCACGCCUGUCUGUUGUUUGUUUGACUGUUGGUGUUGUUUGUUUUCUCUGUGUUCUAAUCUUCCUUAGAACUAACAUGGGACAGUCCCUAACAACGCCCCUAAGUCUCACUCUUGAUCAUU